CCUACGGGAGGCAGCAGUGAGGAAUAUUGGUCAAUGGGCGGAAGCCUGAACCAGCCAAGUAGCGUGAAGGAUGACUGCCCUAUGGGUUGUAAACUUCUUUUAUAUGGGAAUAAAACAGGGUAUGCAUACCCUCUUGUAUGUACCAUAUGAAUAAGGAUCGGCUAACUCCGUGCCAGCAGCCGCGGUAAUACGGAGGAUCCGAGCGUUAUCCGGAUUUAUUGGGUUUAAAGGGAGCGUAGGUGGAUUGUUAAGUGAGUUGUGAAAGUUUGGGGCUCAACCGUAAAAUUGCAGUUGAAACUGGCAGUCUAGAGUACAGUAGAGGUGGGCGGAAUGCGUGGUGUAGCGGUGAAAUGCUUAGAGAUCACGAAGAACACCGAUUGCGAAGGCAGCUCACUGGACUGUAACUGACACUGAGGCUCGAAAGUGUGGGGAGCAAACAGGAUUAGAUACCCCAGUAGUC
rnacentral:rRNA from 1 species